rnacentral:rRNA from 1 species
CUGCCCUUCCAUCCCUUGGAUAGAUAGAGAGGGAGGGCCGAGCUUUUGGUUUUUUCAUGUUGUCAAAGAGUUGAACAAUGAAAAUAGAUGGCGAGUGCCUGAUCGAAUUGAUCGGGUCAUGUAGGAACAAGGUUCAAGUCUACCGGUCUGUUAGGAUGCCUCAGCUGCAUACAUCACUGCACUUCCACUUGACACCUAUCGUAAUGAUAAACGGCUCGUCUCGCCGUGACCUUC